UAGAGAGAGAAGGACGGCCCAACCCUAGAGAGAGGCGGCUUAGAGAGAAAAGGAAACCGUCUUUCAUUUUCCUUAAACUUGUUAUCUUUCUAUUAUUAUGUAUUAGUAGUUUUCGUAAUCCUAGUAAGUUUAGGUUUUGGAUACUUUCCAUUUUACUUAUCUUGUAAUCCUUAUAUAAAGGAAUCCCUUUGAUAAUUAAUAAUAACACAAAAAUAUUCAGUCUCUAAACUCUCUAAUUAUAACUGACUGAGAAUAUAUAUGAUUUGCGUCUAAGAUAUAUUCAACUUAUUGUCACAAAAAACUUAAUAAAAAAAAUAUAUACUUUGUUUUAAGGACAUUAAAAAUUACCUUAAAAAUUUUAACAUUUUAAAAAAAAAUAUGAAUCAAUAAUAUUAAUAUAAAAUUUUAUCCAAAAAACUCAGCACUAAAUAAAUGCAUAAACAAAAAAACAAACAAACCCUAAACCCUAUAAUCUUAAGCAUUAUUCUAAACCAAACCUUAAACCCAACCUAAACCAAACGCUAAACCAUUCUUACUACCUAAACCCUAAAUUCUACCUAACCCUAGACUCUACCUAAACCUAGACCUUAACCUAUCUAAUCCUAAACCCUACAUAAACCUAACCCUAAUCCCUAAACCCUUCAUACUACCUAAACCCUAAACCUACCUAACCCUAAACGCAAACCCUACCUAACCCUAAACCCUUCAUACUACCUAAACCCUAAACCUACCUAACCCUAAACGUAAACCCUACCUAACCCUAAACCCUACCUAACCCUAAACCCUUCCUAAUCCUAAAACCCUACCUAAAACCUAACCCUAAACCUAAACCCUACCUACCCUAAACUCUACCUAACCCUAAACCCUACCUAACCCUAACCCUACAUAACCCUAAACCCUACUAACCCUACCUAACAUAAACCCUACCUAACCUAAAACCUUUCUAACCCUAAACCCUUUCUAGCCCUAAAACCUACCUAACCCUAAACCCUACCUAACCCUAAACCCUAUCUAACCCUAAACCCUACCAAACCCUAAACCCUACCUAACCCUAAACCCUACCUACCCUAAACCCUACCUAACCCUAAACCCUACCUAACCCUAAACCCCUUCUAACCCUAAACCUGACCUAACCCUAAACCAUGCCUAACCCUAAACCAUUCUAACCCUAAACCCUACCUAAUUCUAAACCCUACCUAACCUAAACUCUACCUAACCCUAAACCCUACCUAACCCUAACCCUACAUAACCCUAAACCCUACUAACCCUACCUAACAUAAACCCUACCUAACCUAAAACCUUUCUAACCCUAAACCCUUUCUAGCCCUAAAACCUACCUAACCCUAAACCCUACCUAACCCUAAACCCUAUCUAACCCUAAACCCAACCUAACCCUAAACCCUACCUACCCUAAACCCUUUCUAACCUUAAACCCUACCUAACCCUAAACCCCUUCUAACCCUAAACCUGACCUAACCCUAAACCAUGCC
rnacentral:lncRNA from 1 species